rnacentral:rRNA from 1 species
AUUGAACGCUGGCGGCAGGCCUAACACAUGCAAGUCGAGCGGAUGAAGGGAGCUUGCCCCUGGAUUCAGCGGCGGACGGGUGAGUAAUGCCUAGGAAUCUGCCUGGUCGUGGGGGAUAACGUCCGGAAACGGGCGCUAAUACCGCAUACGUCCUGAGGGAGAAAGUGGGGGAUCUUCGGACCUCACGCUAUCAGAUGAGCCUAGGUCGGAUUAGCUAGUUGGUGGGGUAAAGGCUUACCAAGGCGACGAUCCGUAACUGGUCUGAGAGGAUGAUCAGUCACACUGGAACUGAGACACGGUCCAGACUCCUACGGGAGGCAGCAGUGGGGAAUAUUCGACAAUGGGCGAAAGCCUGAUCCAGCCAUGCCGCGUGUGUGAAGAAGGUCUUCGGAUUGUAAAGCACUUUAAGUUGGGAGGAAGGGCAGUAAGUUAAUCCCUUGCUGUUUUGACGUUACCAACAGAAUAAGCACCGGCUAACUUCGUG